rnacentral:rRNA from 1 species
GAUGAACGCUAGCUACAGGCUUAACACAUGCAAGUCGCGGGCCCGGCGCACGGGUGAGUAACACGUAUCCAACCUGCCCUUUACUCGGGGAUAGCCUUUCGAAAGAAAGAUUAAUACCCGAUAUAAAGGAUGGGGAUGCGUUCCCUUAGGUUGUUGGUGAGGUAACGGCUCACCAAGCCUUCGAUGGAUAGGGGUUCUGUGAGGAAGGUACCCAACAUUGGAACUGAGACACGGACCAAACUACUACGGGAGGCAGCAGUGAGGAAUAUGGGUCAAUGGGCGCUAGCCUGAACCAGCCAAGGAGCGAGAAGGAUGAAGGCUUAUGGUGCGUAAACUUCUUUUAUAGAAGAAUAUGGAUGAUAUAAAUAAGGAACGGCUAACUCCAUGCCAGCAGCAGCGGUAAUAC